rnacentral:rRNA from 1 species
GAUGAACGCUGGCGGCGUGCCUAAUACAUGCAAGUCGAGCGAACAGACGAGGAGCUUGCUCCUCUGACGUUAGCGGCGGACGGGUGAGUAACACGUGGAUAACCUACCUAUAAUACUGGGAUAACUUCGGGAAACCGGAGUUAAUACCGGAUAAUAUAUUGAACCGCAUGGUUCAAUAGUGAAAGACGGUUUUGCUGUCACUUAUAGAUGGAUCCGCGCCGCAUUAGCUAGUUGGUAAGGUAACGGCUUACCAAGGCAACGAUGCGUAGCCGACCUGAGAGGGUGAUCGGCCACACUGGAACUGAGACACGGUCCAGACUCCUACGGGAGGCAGCAGUAGGGAAUCUUCCGCAAUGGGCGAAAGCCUGACGGAGCAACGCCGCGUGAGUGAUGAAGGUCUUCGGAUCGUAAAACUCUGUUAUUAGGGAAGAACAAAUGUGUAAGUAACUAUGCACGUCUUGACGGUACCUAAUCAGAAAGCCACGGCUAACUACGUG